rnacentral:autocatalytically_spliced_intron from 1 species
GAGAGCCGGAUGAGCCGAGAGGCUUCCGUCCGGCUUUAAGAGGGGAUGGGAGUGAAAUCCGCCUGCUCUAC